AGACCUACUGAUGUGUUGACAGAGUGAUCUGGUGUCAGGACUGUAAAAUACGCCUAUGAAAACUGGGGGAGAGGAAUAAAACAAGCUGGCAGAACGUUUUUCAUCGUUGAAGCUGCGUGAUGCGAGCAUAUGUGCUCAUCAUACAGUCUCUUUACUUGUGUAUCUGAAAUUUUCCAUAAUAAAAAGUUUAAAGAAGUGAACCAGCGAUUGCCUCUAGGGAGGACAGUGAGGUGGCGGAUGACGGGAGGAAGGAGUCUUAAUUUUUCGCUGUACGCCUUUUUGUGCUAUCUUAGGUUUUUCCCAUUCAAUGUGUUACCUAAUUCAGAAAAUUGGUAAGUUUUUUUUAAGGCUACCAUGGGAAAACAGCGUUCUAAAGAGUAGCGCAACCAGUUCCCCCUAAGAGAGGUGCAUGAUUCGUCGGACUCCGACAGCCUUGGUGUUUGUUAGGCGGUUAAUGGAGACCCACCUGGGAAAUUAGAAAACUACUAAUUGCUUUCAGUGAGAAGCCCGCCCUUCUCCCACAAAUGGAUAAUUUGCUUUUAAUGCACCCAGAAGUUAUCCAGCUCCCUCCGGUAUAAUCGGGGAAACUCCAAAUAAAGGAAAAAUAGUUCAGAGACCCUGCAGCUCUUCCCAAGAGGAAUUUAAGGUGGAUUUUAGUGUGGUUGGAUUGUUUUGCCUACCUGACUGCAGAAUUUAUAUUCUGACAUUUACAAUUUCCUAAAUACUGAAUCAGUACUUUUUCUUGUUUCAAAAUAAAUCAACUUCUUCUGUAGUUUAUAUGAAAAACAAGUCCAUGUCUUCCACUGUGGGUGGGAUGCACAUGACUGUUUUAUUUGGGUCAGUUUUGUCUCUUUUUUUAAUUGGCAGUUUAGGAACUUGUUUUUAUCAUUUUGUUUAAAGAUCUUCUGGCAGAGGUGCAGGCUGCACUUACUAUAAUUAUUUAGAUGACAAGGUGGUGGGUGGUAAUUAAAGGGUAAUUAUCAUCAGAGGCAAAAGGUAAGAUCAAAAAACCAGAAGAGGUGAGGAAACAAUUGCAAGAUCUUCCUGUAGGAGGGUGUCGUGAUCCUCCCAAGACCAAAGGAUAUGUCUAUUAUGCCUGGCCUCUCUAGUGCUGGACACUUGGCAGGGUCAGUGCCUGCAUGAGGCUGAAGUGGAAGGGCUUAUUGUUUAGACUGGUGCCUUUUGAGGGCUUUUAUGUGAUGGUUGUGUUAAGUAAUGAAACUUAGUAGUGUCAAAUUCUUGCCACUCAAAGAAUGAUCCCCAAUCAGCAGUGUAGCAUCACCUGGAAGCCUGUAAGGAACGCAUAAUUCCUAUCCCUCACCCCAGCUCCACUGAAUCAGAACCUGCAUUUUAACAGGAUUCCCCCAGCUGAUUGGGCUGCACAUUAAAGUUUGACAAGCACUGAUUUAAAGUAUACCCAUAGCAUUUGACAGCAAUCUAGUAUUUUUCGUUAGGAUGAGGGAGAGGAAGGGAGAUGAUUAAGAACCUCCUAUGCAUCAGGUAAGAUGCUAGGCUGUUCAGGGGCCUUGUCUGCUUCCCAGUCCAUUACUCUAUCUUACAAGUAAGGAAAUGGGAAGACUUGUAUGUUACAACUAAUGAGGGAGUCAAACUUUUUCUUGACGGUUGGAUACCCUUUAGUACUUCUUGGUGUUCUUGAAUCUGGUAGAAAGUGGUACAUGAUUUGAGAAGUAAAGUGUGUGUGAGUGUGUGUGUGUGUGUGUGUGUGUGUGUGUAUUUAGUCUGUGGAAGCUUAGUAUAUGAAUAUUAAGCAGAGCUCUUCUGGGCUCUGUACCCUUGUGUGGCUCACACUAAAGACACCCCUCGGGCCCCUCCUGGAGGGAGUUCAGACUCCUGGCCCUGCAGGCUGUACCACCACCUUAACCCCUUACCUCCCUGCUUCCACUGAGGCAAGCAAAUGCCCUGAAGUCCCCUCAUUCCCUUACCAGGGCCCUGGGUUCCACACCAGAAUGAGCAAACAGAACUCCAGUGUGGGUAACACAUGGCUGAACAGCUUUUUGUUGUAUUGUUUUUGUUUUCUUAGUUCUCUCAGCUCAGGCUCCAUCCCCCUGGCCACCUCAACCCCUAGAAUGGUUGUCUCCAUUUCAUGAGAAUCUUCACACUAACAUCAAGUAGCCAGUAGGUGCUUUUGGUUUUGCUAGAAUGCCUGUGUGCAAGCUCUCAGAUACCUGAUUUUCUUUCCCCCACUGAAUGUUGUGUUUGUCAGAAACUGAAAUCAUGGAUCAGAGCCAAGUUUGUAGUACCCUUAGGAGGGGCCUCUGCCCUCCUGUGUGCUGCCUGGGUGAGGACAGAACCCCCUAACCUGGAGCUCCACUUGAGUGGGCCCAUACCUGUACUUUCCUCUGAAAAAAGAAAAUCCUGCAAAGAAAAUAGAAGACAUCUGUUCUGCCAUUGCCAUGCCCUUGUUCUAGCCCAGACAUGAGAACUGUCAGAAUUGGAGUUACUAAAUAGAACUUUUAGUCUUUUUCUGAUAAUGUGUAGUAAAGUGUAUUACAACUUAUAGAAUUCUAUUUAGGGAACUACAGGUCAGAAACUACCAUAUUGGUAGCAGUCAAUUUUUCUUUGCCAUCGGAUGUGGAAUAAAAUGUUAAAUUG
rnacentral:lncRNA from 1 species